AUGACACCACCUGGGAAGAAGACAAACCCCAGACCAAAGGCAUCAUAUGGUCCAACGGCUUCAUACGAAUACACGACUCACUUGAGUCACCCUAACGCCAAUGUUUUGCAGGGAAACCGUACUCAAACUUAUGAAUAUGAACGUGUGUCCUCAAACCGCCAUGUUCAUAGGACUAAGAACUUUUUUGCUUAUUCAUAUGAGUAUCAUUCAUCUCCUGCAAGGCUAUUUGCUAGGGCUUCAAAGCCGAAAUUCUCAGAUGCUGCAUUUAGACUCAUUGCUUCUAAGCCACCCCUGAAGAUGUGGGUGGUGAAGAAGAAUUAA
rnacentral:rRNA from 1 species